rnacentral:lncRNA from 1 species
AAGAUUGUAUCUUCAACUCUUGGCUCUGCUUCAACUUCGCCAUAUCAGUCAUAUGACUCUGCCUCAUCUCCUCUAUCCUUGUCUCAUAUGACUGCUUUAUCUGUGCCAUCUCUGUCUUCAAACUACAAACCUCUGCAGUGCUAGUACCUUGUCUGGCAUCUUGGGUAUAUCGGCUCACUGCAGACAGCUGAGUGGGGGUAACUCCGACACCGUAACCCCUCACGCGACCAUAACGUUCUGGGCCCAUCAAUUCGGCGUAGACCU